rnacentral:rRNA from 1 species
UACAGAGGGUGCAAGCGUUGUUCGGAAUCACUGGGCGUAAAGCGCGCGCAGGCGGAUGGUUGCGUCCGGAGUGAAAUUUCGCCGCUCAACGGCGAAGCUGCUUUGGAUACGGACCGUCUAGGGACCGGUAGAGGCUGGUAGAAUUGCAGGUGUAGCGGUGGAAUGCGUAGAGAUCUGCAAGAAUACCCGUGGCGAAGGCGGCCAGCUGGGCCGGAUCCGACGCUGAGGCGCGAAAGCGUAGGGAGCAAACAGG